UUUCAGCUGUGCUAACAAUUGCAAAAGCGUUUUCUAAUGACCAAUUAGCCUUUUUAAAAUGACAAACUUGGAUUAGCUAACAACGUGCCAUUGGAACACCGGAGUGAUGGUUGCUGAUAAUGGGCCUCCACCACCCAAAGGGAAUACAGCCAACUUGACACAACUCUUGGAAGCAUUGGAGUCAACAUGGGCCAGCAUCCCUGUGGAACACUUUCCAUGAGUUGAGGCUGUUCGGAGGGCAAAAUGGACAAAAUGUUGUCCACUCAGUAUCAUCAGGCUGCUGAUUAUCCCGCACACCUGUCACCAUCGUCUCGCGCACCUGCGCCUCAUGACACUCACCUGGACUCCAUCACCUCCUUGAUUAUCUUCCCUCUAUCUGUCCCUCCCCUUGGUUCUUUCCUCAGGUGUUAUUGACUCCGUUUUCAUGUCGGUGCGUUGUUUGAUAUGUGUUCAUUGUUUCUUUUAUUUAUUAAAACACUCACUCCCUGAA